CACGUAGGGGGCAAGCGUUGUCCGGAAUCAUUGGGCGUAAAGAGCGUGUAGGCGGCCAGAAAAGUCCGCUGUGAAAACUCGAGGCUCAACUUCGAGCUGUCGGUGGAAACUUUCUGGCUAGAGUCCGGAAGAGGAGAAUGGAAUUCCUGGUGUAGCGGUGAAAUGCGCAGAUAUCAGGAAGAACACCCGUGGCGAAGGCGGUUCUCUGGGACGGUACUGACGCUGAGACGCGAAAGCGUGGGGAGCGAACAGG
rnacentral:rRNA from 1 species